UCUCCUGUAGCUCAGUAGUAGAGCAUCCGACCGGUGUGCAGAAGAUAAUAGUUUCAACUCCAGUUGGGAGAA
rnacentral:tRNA from 1 species